UACGUAGGGGGCUAGCGUUGUCCGGAAUUAUUGGGCGUAAAGAGCUCGUAGGCGGUUUGUCGCGUCUGCUGUGAAAACCCGAGGCUCAACCCCGAGCCUGCAGUGGAUACGGGCAGACUAGAGGUAGGUAGGGGAGAAUGGAAUUCCCGGUGUAGCGGUGAAAUGCGCAGAUAUCGGGAGGAACACCGGUGGCGAAGGCGGUUCUCUGGGCCUUACCUGACGCUGAGGAGCGAAAGCGUGGGGAGCGAACAGG
rnacentral:rRNA from 1 species